AAAAACAUGUCUUAUUGUAUUUUAUUUUAAGUCUAUUCUGCUCAGUGAUUUAUUAAAUAGCUGCAGUAUAUUAACUGUACAAAGGUAGCAUAAUAAUUUGUCUUUUUAUUGGGGGCUUGUAUGAAUGAUUGGACGAGAUAUUAUCUUUCUUUAUUUUAAUUUAUGAAUUUGAUUUUUUAGUGAAAAUGCUAAGAUUUUUUUAUGGGACGAGAAGACCCUAUAGAAUUUUAUAAUUAUUAGAACUUUUUAUUUUAUUUUUUAUUAUUUUUUGUUUUUUUAAUUUUUUGAUUGGGGUGAUUUUGAAAUUUAGUAAACUUUUUAUUUUAUUUUUCAAUAAUUUUUGUUUUUUUGAUCCUUUAUUAUGGAUUUUAAGAUUAAAUUACCUUAGGGAUAACAGCGUAAUUUUUUUAGAGAGUUCUUAUCGAUAAUAUAAGUUUGCGA
rnacentral:rRNA from 1 species